rnacentral:piRNA from 1 species
UAUUAAUAGAGAAGUUUUUAUAACUGUGGUC